AUUGAACGCUGGCGGCAUGCCUUACACAUGCAAGUCGAACGGCAGCACGGGAGCAAUCCUCGUGGCGAGUGGCGAACGGGUGAGUAAAGUAUCGGAACGUGCCCAGUCGUGGGGGAUAACGUAGCGAAAGUUACGCUAAUACCGCAUACGAUCUAUGGAUGAAAGCGGGGGAUCGCAAGACCUCGCGCGAUUGGAGCGGCCGAUAUCAGAUUAGGUAGUUGGUGGGGUAAAGGCUCACCAAGCCGACGAUCUGUAGCUGGUCUGAGAGGACGACCAGCCACACUGGGACUGAGAAACGGCCCAGACUCCUACGGGAGGCAGCAGUGGGGAAUUUUGGACAAUGGGCGAAAGCCUGAUUCAGCCAUGCCGCGUGCAGGAUGAAGGCCUUCGGGUUGUAAACUGCUUUUGUACGGAACGAAAAGGUUUGGCCUAAUAAGCUGAGCUCAUGACGGUACCGUAAGAAUAAGCACCGGCUAACUACGUGCCAGCCGCCGCAGUAA
rnacentral:rRNA from 1 species